GUGCCAGCCGCCGCGGUAAUACGUAGGUGGCAAGCGUUAUCCGGAAUUAUUGGGCGUAAAGCGCGCGCAGGUGGUUUCUUAAGUCUGAUGUGAAAGCCCACGGCUCAACCGUGGAGGGUCAUUGGAAACUGGGAGACUUGAGUGCAGAAGAGGAAAGUGGAAUUCCAUGUGUAGCGGGGAAGUGCGUAGAGAUAUGGAGGAACAACAGUUGCGAACGCGAGUUUCU
rnacentral:rRNA from 1 species